CCCUUUUUCUGUUCCUUUCCCUUCCUUUUUUUCUUCUUUUCUUCCCUCCCCUUAUCUCUUCUUUCCAGCCCUACACAAUCUUCUUUCUUCUGUCUCCUGAACCCUACUUGUGCCUAAGCCCCAAUCCUACUGCUCGCCUCUUUCAGCCUCUGCUGGAUUUUAUAUCCUCUCUUGUUCCCAGAUUCCAAGAGCCAACUGUCACUGAAGAGAAAAGGGUCAUUUAAGGGGCCAGGCACACAAAAUAUUUCAUACUGUGUUUCCAACCCUCUAUUUAUUUUAGCCAAUAAUGAAUCAUAGCAUUCUGGAAGCUGAUACAGAAAGAUGUGGAUUUCCAGGCCUUUCUGGAAUGAAUAGCAAAACCCAUUUUAAAAAACCAAAAUGAAUCUUUUCAUACUAUUCUGAAGCUUUUGCACUGACAUAACUAUUUGUAAAAAGUUACUUUUUGUUUUGCAUUUUCCCUCAUAUUAUUAUUGGCUUCUUUGCUUGUGACAUCUUCCUGGGUUUCUUCUUUAUCUAACUCCUAACAAUAUCUUCUCUGGCUUGGCCAAGUUCUCCUGCCUCAACUGCCACCCACUGUCUUCUCAGUCGGCUAGUCUCAACUAUCUAUUUCACAGUUCAAAACCCGGUCUCUUCUCUAGCCCUACUUUCUUCCUGCAUCAGCCGUCUUCUCUGACCAUAUCCUUCUGUCUCUUGGACCCUGCUUCUGCCUACCACGGUGACUCUCUCCAACUCCUUUAACUCUCCUACUGUCUCUCCCAGCUCCUGUUGGCUUUUUAAACCCUCUCCUGUUCCCAGCAGUCCAAAAGCCAACUGUCACUGAAGAGCUUAGGGUCAUUUAAAGGGCCAGGCACACAAAAUAGUUCAUACGGCACAGAGAGCACCAGGAACUGGUUUUCUAGACUAGUUCUAAGGAUUUUGAGGCUUCUGUUUGGUGCUAGACCAAGUGAGGGGGCCAUUGUUCUCAGGCAGGCAACUUGAGAAAUGCUGUGCCAGCCUGACAGGAUCUAUAUUUCAUGUUGCUUGUUAGCAAGGUGCAUCCUGAGCAGAACUGAGCUAGUCUCACGGCCUUGUCAGGUUUGAGAAACUGCAGCAUGAACUGGCCACAGCCCUUGAAAAGCUCCUGAAGAAGGAAGAAGCUGCUGCAUCAGGAGCCACCUGCUGAGCCUCAUCCCCUGCAACCACGGAAUCCCCUGGGAUCUAGAAAAAAUGGAGGAAUUGCUGCAGGAUGGACACAAGCAGAAGGAGUUGGGCAUCCAGGAGAAGGAUUCCACAGGAAAACUGCAGUAUCACUUUGAGGUCCUCCAGAAAAGCACAUGAAACGCAUGGAGGAAAUGCUGCAGUAAUGAAGCAGAAGGGGCUGACCAUCAAGCAAAAGGCGUCAGCACAGAAGCUGCAGCAUCACUUUGAGGUCUGAGAAACUGCUGCAUGAGAUGAAAAUUUUCCCAGCCCUGGAACAGAGCCUCCUGCAGAAAGACCUGCUGCAUCAGGAGCCACCUGCAGAGCCCCAUCCCCACAAACCACAGGAUCCCUUGGAUGGAUUUGCUUUAACGUGUCUUAUUUUACACUUAUUUCCUCAGUGUGAAUAGGCCCUAAUUUUAUGGAGCCAGUGAGCCACCAGCCUUCUUCUAGGUCUGCUUCCCUUUGAUUUUCUCACAAUUCCUCUUGAGAGAACUGGGGUGACUGCCAAGCCAUUAACUGUGGCAGACCAGGCACAGGACACUGGUCAGCAGCGAGUGUUUGGGGUUGGUUUGUUUUUUUCUCAUUUGGAUGUUUUCGCUUUAAGUUUUCUUAUAGAGAUUUGGUUUACAUUUUCUUAUAGAGAUUUUUUAAAAAUUGGUAAGGCUAUUUGCUCUGCUGUUUUAAUGUCCAUUUAAAAAUGUAUGUUUUAUGAAUAAUAAAUUAUUUUCCAACUCUUCA